rnacentral:rRNA from 1 species
GCUUCUUUUUCCCCGGAGCUUGCUCCACCGGAAAAAGAAGAGUGGCGAACGGGUGAGUAACACGUGGGUAACCUGCCCAUCAGAAGGGGAUAACACUUGGAAACAGGUGCUAAUACCGUAUAACAAUCGAAACCGCAUGGUUUUGAUUUGAAAGGCGCUUUCGGGUGUCGCUGAUGGAUGGACCCGCGGUGCAUUAGCUAGUUGGUGAGGUAACGGCUCACCAAGGCCACGAUGCAUAGCCGACCUGAGAGGGUGAUCGGCCACAUUGGGACUGAGACACGGCCCAAACUCCUACGGGAGGCAGCAGUAGGGAAUCUUCGGCAAUGGACGAAAGUCUGACCGAGCAACGCCGCGUGAGUGAAGAAGGUUUUCGGAUCGUAAAACUCUGUUGUUAGAGAAGAACAAGGAUGAGAGUAACUGUUCAUCCCUUGACGGUAUCUAACCAGAAAGCCACGGCUAACUACGUGCCAGCAGCCGCGGUAAUACGUAGGUGGCAAGCGUUGUCCGGAUUUAUUGGGCGUAAAGCGAGCGCAGGCGGUUUCUUAAGUCUGAUGUGAAAGCCCCCGGCUCAACCGGGGAGGGUCAUUGGAAACUGGGAGACUUGAGUGCAGAAGAGGAGAGUGGAAUUCCAUGUGUAGCGGUGAAAUGCGUAGAUAUAUGGAGGAACACCAGUGGCGAAGGCGGCUCUCUGGUCUGUAACUGACGCUGAGGCUCGAAAGCGUGGGGAGCAAACAGGAUUAGAUACCCUGGUAGUCCACGCCGUAAACGAUGAGUGCUAAGUGUUGGAGGGUUUCCGCCCUUCAGUGCUGCAGCUAACGCAUUAAGCACUCCGCCUGGGGAGUACGACCGCAAGGUUGAAACUCAAAGGAAUUGACGGGGGCCCGCACAAGCGGUGGAGCAUGUGGUUUAAUUCGAAGCAACGCGAAGAACCUUACCAGGUCUUGACAUCCUUUGACCACUCUAGAGAUAGAGCUUCCCCUUCGGGGGCAAAGUGACAGGUGGUGCAUGGUUGUCGUCAGCUCGUGUCGUGAGAUGUUGGGUUAAGUCCCGCAACGAGCGCAACCCUUAUUGUUAGUUGCCAUCAUUUAGUUGGGCACUCUAGCAAGACUGCCGGUGACAAACCGGAGGAAGGUGGGGAUGACGUCAAAUCAUCAUGCCCCUUAUGACCUGGGCUACACACGUGCUACAAUGGGAAGUACAACGAGUCGCGAAGUCGCGAGGCUAAGCUAAUCUCUUAAAGCUUCUCUCAGUUCGGAUUGUAGGCUGCAACUCGCCUACAUGAAGCCGGAAUCGCUAGUAAUCGCGGAUCAGCACGCCGCGGUGAAUACGUUCCCG